GCACUCUUUGUUGGUAUGGAGCUUCAUUGAUAAAAGUAGCCAUUUCCAGUAACCUGUUCUUUUCAAACGAUUUGUUAUAAACGACAAAACUGUACUGGUCACACUGCUUUUGGUAAAGGGCAUCAACGACUGUUUUAAAGUCCUCAAUACCAAUAGUUAGCGGAUCAAAGAUCAGGUUUUGACAAACUAACUUGCUUUUAUCAGACUCGGUAUUGUCAUCAACAAUAAGAGAACACUGGGUCACAAUUUGGGUAAAGGGUAAGGAUUUAUCAAUUACUCUAACUGCAGAACUAAUUGUUUCAAAAUCAAAGUAAACUUUUUUUUCUUUGAGCUUUUGUCAAACACUCUUAAAUUUAUUACCAACAGCAAUCCCCUUUUUAUCGUUUCAAGCUCUUAGAAAAAAGUGGAUUUUGUUAAAUUGGGAAGUAGCGGGAUUUU
rnacentral:sRNA from 1 species